rnacentral:rRNA from 1 species
UACGUAGGGUGCGAGCGUUAAUCGGAAUUACUGGGCGUAAAGGGUGCGCAGGCGGUUCUGCAAGUCAGGCGUGAAAUCCCCGGGCUUAACCUGGGAAUGGCGCUUGAAACUACGGGACUGGAGUAUGGCAGAGGGAGGUGGAAUUCCACGUGUAGCGGUGAAAUGCGUAGAGAUGUGGAGGAACACCGAUGGCGAAGGCAGCCUCCUGGGCCAAUACUGACGCUCAUGCACGAAAGCAUGGGGAGCAAACAGG